UGGGGAAUAUUGCACAAUGGGCGCAAGCCUGAUGCAGUCAUGCCGCGUGUAUGAAGAAGGCCUUCGGGUUGUAAAGUACUUUCAGCGAGGAGGAAGGCGAUGCGGUUAAUAACCGUGUCGAUUGACGUUACUCGCAGAAGAAGCACCGGCUAACUCCGUGCCAGCAGCCGCGGUAAUACGGAGGGUGCAAGCGUUAAUCGGAAUUACUGGGCGUAAAGCGCACGCAGGCGGUCUGUCAAGUCGGAUGUGAAAUCCCCGGGCUCAACCUGGGAACUGCAUUCGAAACUGGCAGGCUUGAGUCUUGUAGAGGGGGGUAGAAUUCCAGGUGUAGCGGUGAAAUGCGUAGAGAUCUGGAGGAAUACCGGUGGCGAAGGCGGCCCCCUGGACAAAGACUGACGCUCAGGUGCGAAAGCGUGGGGAGCAAACA
rnacentral:rRNA from 1 species